rnacentral:rRNA from 1 species
CCAGACUCCUACGGGAGGCAGCAGUAGGGAAUCUUCGGCAAUGGACGGAAGUCUGACCGAGCAACGCCGCGUGAGUGAAGAAGGUUUUCGGAUCGUAAAGCUCUGUUGUAAGAGAAGAACGAGUGUGAGAGUGGAAAGUUCACACUGUGACGGUAUCUUACCAGAAAGGGACGGCUAACUACGUGCCAGCAGCCGCGGUAAUACGUAGGUCCCGAGCGUUGUCCGGAUUUAUUGGGCGUAAAGCGAGCGCAGGCGGUUAGAUAAGUCUGAAGUUAAAGGCUGUGGCUUAACCAUAGUACGCUUUGGAAACUGUUUAACUUGAGUGCAAGAGGGGAGAGUGGAAUUCCAUGUGUAGCGGUGAAAUGCGUAGAUAUAUGGAGGAACACCGGUGGCGAAAGCGGCUCUCUGGCUUGUAACUGACGCUGAGGCUCGAAAGCGUGGGGAGCAAACAGGAUUAGAUACCCUGGUAGUCCACGCCGUACACGAUGAGUGCUAGGUGUUAGACCCUUUCCGGGGUUUAGUGCCGCAGCUAACGCAUUAAGCACUCCGCCUGGGGAGUACGACCGCAAGGUUGAAACUCAAAGGAAUUGACGGGGGCCCCGCACAAGA